rnacentral:rRNA from 1 species
CGGCGGACGGGUGAGUAAUGCCUAGGAAUCUGCCUGGUAGUGGGGGACAACGUUUCGAAAGGAACGCUAAUACCGCAUACGUCCUACGGGAGAAAGCAGGGACCUUCGGGCCUUGCGCUAUCAGAUGAGCCUAGGUCGGAUUAGCUAGUUGGUGAGGUAAUGGCUCACCAAGGCGACGAUCCGUAACUGGUCUGAGAGGAUGAUCAGUCACACUGGAACUGAGACACGGUCCAGACUCCUACGGGAGGCAGCAGG